rnacentral:lncRNA from 1 species
CCCAGAACACUGGGGAGACUAGAUCGAUAGGGCUGCACAGAGGUGGCACAGUUGUGCCAGAGGGCCAGACUUUGGCAGCGUGUAAGGUCUGAGGACAGGGGCACCGGAGGCCGAGGAUGAGAGGCCAGUGCCUGUUUCCAGGCAGCCAGGGCCUCAGAAACUCCGGCCGGAGCACUCACCCGUCGGUGGAGGCCGUUACCAGGGCCACCUUAUUUGCGAGCGGGUCCCGGCGGGUCAUCCCGGAGCUGGCCAUCCGCACCGAAUUCCAAGCCCGGGCACAGAGGCCUAGCAGCCCCGCCUUGUGCAUGGAUCAGACCAGCAAGUAUGGGUUCCACUCUUCCCAGGGGCGGUGACAGAGUAGGGCGAGGGGCAGGACGAAGGGCGGGCCGAUUCCCUGCCCGCCCUGCUCCCCGCCCCGGUACCGCUGUGAGCGGUCUGUGGCCCUGGGCACCUCCAUCCGCCGCGGCGCCCCUCCACCAUCUACCUUCCGCCUGACUGGGGCUUGCCUUUCCGGGCUGGCGGGUGCCACUUCGGAUAAACCCUUUGGACUCCUAACUCCAAUCAGGUGUCUGCUUUGUUGAGGACUCACAGACACAGUCUCCUUUCUUCAAGAUCUUUACAAUGCAAGACCUCACUAACACACAGGGAUGGUCUCCCAGAGGGUCUGUGCUGUUCCUUCACUCAGAACAUCAAGAUGCACUGAAGUAAGGAUCCUCUAUUCUACAGUUCCUGCUAGCUGAGCUAUUCCAUGGGGGCUUCAGCAGGAAAUUCCAAGGUUGGCUUUGACAAGCUAAGGCCGGCUGGUGGAGCACAUCGAGUUCUGGAGGUUCAUGUGUGUUUUCAUGAAGAUCUGUCUGCCCGUAGCAGAUAAAGAGUUGUUGCCCCACUCCUCCUGGGGUCUUCUAUUUUCCUGGGAGGAAUUUCUGGAUUAACUGAACACACACACACACACACACACCCUUUUGAAGCAUCAACAGUAAUUCUGAGUUCUUAGGGACAAUGCAGAUUAAAUCCACAAUAAGAAAGACAACUAUGGCCAGGUGUGGUGGCUCACGCCUGUAAUCCCAGAACUUUGGGAGGCUGAGGCGGAUGGAUCACCUGAGGUCAGGAGUUAGAGACCAACCUGACCAACAUGGAGAAACCCCGUUUCUACUAAAAAUGCAAAAUUAGCCGGGCAUGGUGGCAGGCGCCUGUAAUCCCAAAUACUCGGGAGGCUGAGGCAGGAGAAUCACUUAAACCCGGGAGGCAGAGGUUGCAGUGAGCCAAGAUCGCGCCAUUGCACUCCAGCCUGGGCAAGAAGAGCAAAACUCCAUCUCAAAAAAAAAAAAAGAGUACUAUUGAUCCAGAGGUGACCAGACUAGCCUCACUGGAGAUAAUAGGUGACAUUAUUAUGCAAAGUGGUUUCAGUUCCCUUGUCUUGUUUUUGGAAUAGUAUAAGAGGCCUACAAUACGAAUAAAUAAGGCCCAUCACAAGCCUCACCAAAGGACAAAACUAAUCCACUUCUGAAGAAGGCUCUUUGUUGGGCCAGAUCAAAUCCUUGGACAGAACUGUACUCUUAAUCUCUGUAGUGAAAGUGGGGGGUAGUUUAAGAAUUUAUUAACCUUCUACCUUGAGCAAUCCCUCAGAAGUAAGAGGUGUCAGGCCUCUGAGCCGAAGCUCAGCCAUUGUAACCCCUGUGACCUGCACAUAUAUGUCCAGAUGGCCUGCAGGAGCCAAGAAGUCUGGGGCAGCUGAAAAACCACACAAGAAGUAAAACAGCCAGUUCCUGCCUUAACUGAUUAACCAACAUUACAACAUUCCACCAUUGUGACCUGUCCCUGUCCUACCUUAACUGAUCAAUCGACCUUGUGACAGUCUUCUUCUGGACAAUGGGUCUUAUCAUCUCCCCACCAUGUACCUUGUGACCCCCUCCUCUGCUAACAAUAGAUAACCACUUUUUACUGUAAUUUUCCAUUACCUACCCAACUCCUAUAAAGCAACCCCUUCCCCAUCUCCCUUCACUGACUCUGUUUUCAGACUCAGCCCACUUGCACUCAAGUGAAUAAACAGCCUUGUUGCUCACACAAAGCCUGUUGGUGGUCUCUUCACACAGAUGUGCUUGACAAAAGGGAAGGGUGGAUUUGUCCUUCUGGUUACAUAUGUUCUGCUCACUCAUUUUGAAUUUAAUUAAACAAGGAUUGCCCUUACCUUUUCAUACUUUGUAAGAAACCAUAAAUACUUAUGCACCAUGAUUUUUUUAAAGAAACACUUUUUAUUUUGAAGUAAUUAUAGUCUCAUAGGAAGUUGCAAAAGUAGUACAUAGAGUCCCUGAGUACUCUUCCCCCAGUGGUGACAACUGUAGUAUAAUAUCAAUUCUGGGAAAUUGACAUUGGUACAAUACCAAAUAUACUAUGCCUUUUUCUCUAAGGCAUGAUGUUGCAGUAGCAUCCUUGUACAUGUAGCUAGGAGAACUUGUACUAAGCCCAGAUAAAUAGUUGAAGUACAAGGGCAAGGAGUGUGUCUUUGAUAUUUUAAUAGAAAUCACCUAUUGCCCUCUAGAAAAGCUGUACCCUUUUCCAGUGGCAGAGAACCUUCCUGAAAGGCAGUCCUGUGUAAUGGUGUCCAUUUCAUCACACCCUUAAAACACUCAGCUUUAACAAACAUGCAGAUUUUUGCUGAUGUGGGAGAAAAUAUUAAUUAUUAAUGAUAUUAAGGUGAUUAUCUUUUCGUAUGUUUAUAGAUAUUUGUAUUUCUUUUUAAAUGAACUGCUCAUGACCUUUGUCUACUUUUAUUUGGGUUUACUUCUUUCUCAUUUAUUCCUAUAAACUCUUUAUAAAAGGAAAUUAACCAUUUGAUUGUCAUAUGUUGUGAAUAUUUUUACCAUUUUGACUUUUGAAUUUAUGUCUUUUUAAUGAAUUGUAGAAGUUUAAAAUCUUUAUGGAAUAAAUUUAUUUAGUUUUUUGUU